rnacentral:rRNA from 1 species
UACAGAGGUCCCAAGCGUUGUUCGGAUUCAUUGGGCGUAAAGGGUGCGUAGGUGGCGCGCUAAGUCAGGUGUGAAAUUUCGGAGCUUAACUCCGAAACUGCAUUUGAUACUGGCGUGCUUGAGGACUGGAGGGGAGACUGGAAUUCAUGGUGUAGCAGUGAAAUGCGUAGAGAUCAUGAGGAAGACCAGUGGCGAAGGCGGGUCUCUGGACAGUUCCUGACACUGAGGCACGAAGGCCAGGGGAGCAAACGGG